AUUGAACGCUGGCGGCAGGCCUAACACAUGCAAGUCGAGCGGAGCGGCGGACGGGUGAGUAAUGCCUAGGAAUCUGCCUGGUAGUGGGGGAUAACGUACGGAAACGGGCGCUAAUACCGCAUACUAUCAGAUGAGCCUCGGUCGGAGUAGCUAGUUGGUGGGGUAAAGGCCUACCAAGGCGACGAUCCGUAACUGGUAUGAGAGGAGGAUCAGUCACACGGGAACUGAGACACGGCCCAGACUCCUACGGGAGGCAGAAGUGGGGAAGAUUGGACAAGGGGCGAAAGCCUGAUCCAGACAGGCAGCGGGUUUGAAGAAGGUCUUCGGAUUGUAAAGCCCGUUAAUUUGGGAGGCGUUACCAACAGAAUAAGCACCGGCUAACUUCGUGCCAGCAGCCGCGGUAAUAC
rnacentral:rRNA from 1 species